rnacentral:piRNA from 1 species
UGAGGACCUAUCUAUGUGCUUUGAAAGACAA